rnacentral:rRNA from 1 species
AUUGAACGCUGGCGGCAGGCCUAACACAUGCAAGUCGAGCGGAUGAGUGGAGCUUGCUCCAUGAUUCAGCGGCGGACGGGUGAGUAAUGCCUAGGAAUCUGCCUGGUAGUGGGGGACAACGUUUCGAAAGGAACGCUAAUACCGCAUACGUCCUACGGGAGAAAGUGGGGGAUCUUCGGACCUCACGCUAUCAGAUGAGCCUAGGUCGGAUUAGCUAGUUGGCGAGGUAAAGGCUCACCAAGGCGACGAUCCGUAACUGGUCUGAGAGGGUGAUCAGUCACACUGGAACUGAGACACGGUCCAGACUCCUACGGGAGGCAGCAGUGGGGAAUAUUGGACAAUGGGCGAAAGCCUGAUCCUGCCAUGCCGCGUGUGUGAAGAAGGUCUUCGGAUUGUAAAGCACUUUAAGUUGGGAGGAAGGGCAGUAAGUUAAUACCUUGCUGUUUUGACGUUACCGACAGAAUAAGCACCGGCUAACUUCGUGCCAGCCGCCGCGGUAACAC